rnacentral:rRNA from 1 species
UACGUAGGGGCGAGCGUUGUCCGGAUUUACUGGGCGUAAGGGGUGAGUAGGCGGUUGUAUAUGUCAGGUGUAAAAGGCUAUGGCUUAACCAUGGUUAGCACUUGAAACUGUACAACUUGAGUGCAGGAGAGGUAAGUGGAAUUCCUAGUGUAGCGGUGAAAUGCGUAGAUAUUAGGAGGAACACCAGUGGCGAAGGUGACUUACUGGACUGUAACUGACGCUGAGUCACGAAAGCGUGGGUAGCAAACAGGAUUAGAUACCCUUGUAGUCCCU